GCCCGGAUGGUCUAGUGGUAUGUUCUACAUUCAUCCGAAAUCUUCCCGUUCUGUUCUAACAGUUCAUAAUCAGGUAUGAUUCCUGCUUCGGGAAGAAAAUGCAGGAGGUCCCGCGUUCGAAUCGCGGUUCGGGCC
rnacentral:tRNA from 1 species